rnacentral:rRNA from 1 species
AGAGUUUGAUCAUGGCUCAGAACUAACGCUGGCGGCGUGCCUAACACAUGCAAGUCGCGCGGUCGCCAUUUUGUAGCAAUACAGAAGAAGCGAUAGCGGCAAACGGGUGAGUAACACGUAACCAAUCUACCUUACCGUCCGGGAUAACCAACCGAAAGGUUAGCUAAUACCAGAUGCGACUAUCGAGCGGCAUCGUUUGA